rnacentral:rRNA from 1 species
UACAUGGGGUGCAAACGUUGCUCGGAAUCAUUGGGCGUAAAGCGCGCGUAGGCGGUUACUUAAGUCGGAUGUGAAAGCCCUCGGCUUAACUGAGGAAGUGCAUCCGAAACUGAGUACGUGGAGUACGAAAGAGGGUCGCGGAAUUCCCGGUGUAGAGGUGAAAUUCGUAGAUAUCGGGAGGAACACCGGUGGCGAAGGCGGCGACCUGGGUCGAGACUGACGCUGAGGCGCGAAAGCGUGGGGAGCAAACAGG